rfam:Ricinus communis cultivar Hale ctg_1100012354208, whole genome shotgun sequence.
ACUUCAUGAUGUGGACAUCGACUCUACAAGUCCUUAAACCGCUCUCAUGCUUCAUACAAAGAUUCACUAUGGUGUUGAGUGAAACUUGUGAUCUCUUGUCUAAAUUU